UGUGUGUGUGUGUGUGUGUUGGAUUUGGAUCGAGAAAGGAGAUGGCGUGGCCGCGUGGGGAUGAGGCGGUGGACGGAGGAAGAUGGCUGAUCUGGAUCCAGGCGGCCACUCGUGUGUUUGAUCUGUUCAUUGACAUGAUCUUAUCUCCUCUCAUCUGCCAUCUCUUCUCUCACUGAUCCCGUCUCGUCUCGUCUCAUCUCUACAGGUAGAGCGGCCAGAGGAGCAGACCAACAUCUGAACAUCAACUGCAGUUUGUACAUUUUGGUUAUACUUUGUUUCAGUUUGUACACAUCUCGUUUUGGUUAAACUCCUGUCUUAGAUGCUAUGGCUGAAACUAGAGCAAACUGUUUGUGUGCAUCACAUUUUGGUUCAGUUUUGGAUGAGUGAGAGUAGGUAGAGCAUACUAUGUGUGUGUGUGUGUCCAUUGUAUCAUGACGAAUUGACUUGUGCUAAAAUUAGAAACGAGAAAUGGUACACAGACAUGUUAGUCUAUUUAACCACCUUCUUGGAUCAACUUGACACAAUACUAUUUUGAUUUGUUUUAAUAACUGUGGUUAUAUAUUCUAUAAAUUUAUUCAUCAACAUGAUUUCUCUAUUUUCUGUGUCGUACAUUUUACAUAUCUUUAGUCAUAAAAAAUCAAAUAGGGGCAAGACUGUU
rnacentral:lncRNA from 1 species